rnacentral:tRNA from 1 species
CGCGGGGUAGAGCAGUGGUAGCUCGUCGGGCUCAUAACCCGGAGGUCGCAGGUUCGAACCCUGCCCCCGCAA